GACGAACGCUGGCGGCGUGCUUAACACAUGCAAGUCGAACGGAAAGGCCCUGCUUUUGUGGGGUUCUCGAGUGGCGAACGGGUGAGUAACACGUGAGUAACCUGCCCUUGACUUUGGUAUAACUUCAGGAAACUGGGGCUAAUAUCGUAUAGGAGCUCCUGCUGCAUGGUGGGGGUUGGAACGUCUCGGCGGGUGGGGUUGGACGCGCGGCUUAGGAGCUUGUUGGUGGGGUAGUGGCUUACCAAGGCUUUGACGGGUAGCCGGCCUGGGAGGGUGACCGGCCCCAGAGGGCUUGGGGAAGGGCCAGGAGGCAAAAGGGGGGCAGGGGCGGGAGAUAUAGCCAGAUGGACGGAGGCGGGGAGGAGGAACGCCGCGUGGGGAAUGCCGGCUUUCGGGUUGUAAACGGCUUUGGCCUGUACCGAGGUGUGAGGAAGGUAAAUGGAUAAAAAGGAACGGCUUAAUUAGGU
rnacentral:rRNA from 1 species